UUAGCGGCGGACGGGUGAGUAACACGUGGGCAACCUGCCCUGUAGACUGGGAUAACUUCGGGAAACCGGAGCUAAUACCGGAUAAUCCAUUUCACCUCAUGGUGAAAUGUUGAAAGGCGCUUUCGGGCGUCACUACAGGAUGGGCCCGCGGUGCAUUACCUAGUUGGUGGGGUAACGGCCUACCAAGGCGACGAUGCAUAGCCGACCUGAGAGGGUGAUCGGCCACAUUGGGACUGAGACACGGCCCAAACUCCUACGGGAGGCAGCAGUAGGGAAUCUUCCACAAUGGACGAAAGUCUGAUGGAGCAACCCCGCGUGAGUGAUGAAGGUUUUCGGAUCGUAAAACUCUGUUGUAAGGGAAGAACAAGUACGUUAGGAAAUGAACGUACCUUGACGGUACCUUAUUAGAAAGCCACGGCUAACUACGUGCCAGCAGCCGCGGUAAUACGUAGGUGGCAAGCGUUGUCCGGAUUUAUUGGGCGUAAAGCGCGCGCAGGCGGUUUCUUAAGU
rnacentral:rRNA from 2 species